ACAGCAGCACUGGAGACUGAAGUCUCUGUUUAUCUCCAUUGUAUAGGUACAGAUCAGACAGCAACACUGCAUGCUUCCCCAGAGCCCUCCUACCACAUGCCACAGCUCUGGUCUGAAGGAACCUGUAAGGUGAAAAAGCAGUUCUGUUUCCAUGCUGAUACAGUCCCUAGGCUUUG
rnacentral:sRNA from 1 species